UGCAAUGACAGUUGAGUGGAGACGAGAUUUUGAACGCAGCGGUUGUGUUUUUUUCGCGUGAUCUGAAGCAAAUUUCGGAGAUAUUUCAUCCGAAAUCGUUUGAAAUUCUACGAAUUCACAUCAUUGGUACGAGGCACAAUAAAAAGUGGCCCAAAAAGGUUCAUCGGAAUGCUGGAGCUUUGGUGUCCAAGUUCCGGACAAUCUUUGGCCUAGUUGCGGACAAGCCGUGGCCAAGUCAAGUCGUUCAAAAGUGUUGGCCAAGCUGCGGACAAGACGUGGUCAUGAAUUCAUCAGGCAGAUUCCGGCAACAAAGUGUGGGUGCUGAUCCGCUCCCGGCUCCCGUGCGCGUUCCGCUUCCCAGCUUCCCGAAAAAUGUGAUAAAUUUAGUGAAAAGUGUUAAACGAUAAAAAUGAUGAAGUGUUUUAAGUGUUUUUUUGUGAAUAAACCAUUUUGAAACCUA